rnacentral:rRNA from 1 species
GGCGGAAGCACUGGGCUUAAAGCGUGUGUAGGCGGACGCGUAAGUGUCGUGUGAAAUCCCACGGCUCACCCGUGGAACUGCUGGGCAUACUGGGCGUCUUGGGCCAACUAGGGGCAGCCGGAACAAGCGGUGGAGCGGUGAAAUGCGUAGAUAUCGCUUGGAACGCCGAAGGUGAAAACAGGCUGCUGGGGUUGCGCCGACGCUGAGACACGAAAGCCAGGGGAGCAAACGGG